AGUGAACGCUGGCGGUAGGCCUAACACAUGCAAGUCGAACGGCAGCACAGUAAGAGCUUGCUCUUACGGGUGGCGAGUGGCGGACGGGUGAGGAAUACAUCGGAAUCUACUUUUUCGUGGGGGAUAACGUAGGGAAACUUACGCUAAUACCGCAUACGACCUACGGGUGAAAGCAGGGGAUCUUCGGACCUUGCGCGAUUGAAUGAGCCGAUGUCGGAUUAGCUAGUUGGCGGGGUAAAGGCCCACCAAGGCGACGAUCCGUAGCUGGUCUGAGAGGAUGAUCCCCCCCCCUGGAACUGAGACACGGCCCAGACCCCUACGGGAGGCAGCAGGGGGGAAUUUUGGACAAUGGGCGCAACCCUGACCCAGCCAUCCCGCGUGGGUGAAGAAGGCCUUCGGGUUGUAAAGCCCUUUUGUUGGGAAAAAAAAGCAGCAGGUUAAACCCCCCCUUUUCGGACGGUACCCAAAGAAUAAGCACCGGCUAACUUCGU
rnacentral:rRNA from 1 species